AGUAGCAUUAAUAGUAGUAUUAGUAGUGUUGUUGUUGUUGUUGUUGUUGUUGUUGUUGUUGUUGUUGUUGUUGUUGUUGUUGUUGUUGUUACAGUGCUGGAAGUUGGUUGCACAAACCACAUUAGUAAUUAGUGAAACUAUUCUCACCAAGGGUGGUGCAGAACAACCGGGCUAAGAUCCUGUGGGCCUUCCAGAUCCAGAUUGUCAAACAGACAAUUGUUAACCCAACAGUCAAUGGUUGACCAGCUGCAGACAAAGGCAGUGGUGACAGAUGUGUCAAUCACAAGUGACUGAAUCAUCAGAAAGAAGGAACACAAGAAGCUUGAGAAAUAUCAGGGACUGGAAGACGAAACAGAGAAGCUUUGGAGUCACAAGAGCACAAUGUGAGCCCAACAACAGAAGAGUGGAUCAAACAGAUCCCAGGAACAACCUCAGAAACCUUGGUCCAGAAGAGCUCAGGCCCAGACUGUGCAGAGUGAUGGAGAUGCUGUCACACCAUUAUACUGCCUCCAUUUUUUUACCACCAGCUUGAAGUUAUCCAAUCGCAUGGGUCCUAUCCAGAUCAGUUAAUCGUGGAAUACCAAUUGUUGGAGCAGACACAUGAGCACUAUGUCAGGGCUCGAUCAGCAGCACCUGGAUGUACCAGAAACUCAACACAACAACAAACUCAGCUCUACUGCUCAUCCCACAAAUGCAUGUUCCUUACAAAUGUGGCACCAUUAAAAGGGAAAUGAACAGGCUUUCCAAUGGUACCAUAUKUAUUGUCAAUACGCACUGUUACAACAAAGAAAUAAUCUACCMAACACUAAGUUACUUAAGUUUUGUGCUAAAUUUAGGAAUCUUUCUGUUCAGUUUCAAAAUGAAACUUCUAAACUGCUGAAGAUGUUUUAUUGCCUAAUAUCCAUUUUUUAAAUGUU